rnacentral:rRNA from 1 species
UAAGACGUUGAUAGGUUGGGUGUGUAAGCGUAGCGAUACGUUGAGCUAACCAAUACUAAUGAACCGUGAGGCUUAACCUG